rnacentral:tRNA from 1 species
GGCUCGGUUGUUUACUUGGUAAAGCACUCGUCUAGCAUACAAAAGUCCUGGGUUCGAAUCCCAGCCGAGCAU